rnacentral:rRNA from 1 species
GAUGAACGCUGGCGGCGUGCCUAAUACAUGCAAGUCGAGCGAACGGACGAGAAGCUUGCUUCUCUGAUGUUAGCGGCGGACGGGUGAGUAACACGUGGAUAACCUACCUAUAAGACUGGGAUAACUUCGGGAAACCGUAGCUAAUACCGGAUGAUAUUUUGAACCGCAUGGUUCAAAAGUGAAAGACGGUCUUGCUGUCACUUAUAGAUGGAUCCGCUCUGCAUUAGCUAGUUGGUAAGGUAACGGCUUACCAAGGCAACGAUGCAUAGCCGACCUGAGAGGGUGAUCGGCCACCCUGGAACUGAGACACGGUCAAGACUCCUAGGGGAGGCAGCAGUAGGGAAUCUUCGGCAAUGGGCGAAAGCCUGACGGAGCAACGCCGCGUGAGUGAUGAAGGUCUUCGGAUCGUAAAACUCUGUUAUUAGGGAGGAACAUAUGUGUAAGUAACUGUACACAUCUUGACGGUACCUAAUCAGAAAGCCACGGCUAACUACGUG